rnacentral:hammerhead_ribozyme from 1 species
AUCUAGCUGACGAGUCCCAAAUAGGACGAAACGCGCGUCAAACUAGAU